rnacentral:lncRNA from 1 species
GAUAAGGAUUGUACAGAAGAGAUUUUGGAUUACACUUUUUGGUAACAGCUUUAAGUGCACAAAUUCUGUAUGUGCUUCAACAAUUAAUUGAUAUCUCUUCUGACAUUUAAACAUUAAUGAAUACCACAUCACCCUUAUUCUUCCAAGAAUGUCCACAGCCCAUUCUACGUCACCUGUUCAGAGCACUGCUGUUUUACAAAGUACCCUAACCACAGCCUUUCCUGUUUUAGGAGGAACUCUGCCACACACAUUCUUCUGUCACAAGAAGCCUAUGACCAUGGAAAAAGAAAAAAAUCCCCCAAACAGUUCUUAGAACCAGAGAUCCCUAAUCACAGAUAAAGUCAGUUUUCCUAAAGGGAUUCCUGACUGCUUGCUCAGGCCGGGAACAGGUGUAUAAAAUGGCAAUUAAAAGGUACCAAAUGGCUUGGGGAGGUGAUGCUGCAUGGACCUCUGAUCUCUAUUUGCAACAUACAAGUCAGCAAGAAAAGGAGAAUCUUCUUUUCCACAUAGCACACAUCAGAGGCGAAGGUCAUGUGAUCUCUCGCGGAUGUGUGCCUGAUGAGAUUCUGUGCACAAGGCCAAGGUUUUCCUAGGAAGACAAUUUGAUCUUAAUCCAACACUUACAUGGGCAAUUGAUGUACAAAAGUUAUACAUCACAGAACACAGGUGUGGUGAUUUCAGCCUGGAAAGAUUUCAAAGGAUAGUUAAUAGAUCUUCCAUUGGGGCAAUUAAAAUAUUUCUCAGUGAGAUAUUUCUUAAACAUCUACUUUUGAGCUAUGUAAAUUCCUGGAGACUUUUGAUAUUAACUAGAUACAGAAUGCAUACCAGAGGACAAAAUUUUAUUUUUUAUAUAGGAAGGCUUAGAAAUAAUCCCAUAGAUAUUGGAGAGUCUGUAUCCACAAAAGGUGAAUUUUGUUUGGUGGUAGCUGUUUAAAAAGCUAAUAAUGUUCGGGCCUGGUGGCUGACGUCUGUAAUCCCAGCACUUCAGGGGGUCGAGGAGGGUGUAUCAUGAGGUCAGGAGUUCAAGACCAGCCUGGCCAAAGUACUACUAAAAAUACAAAAAUUAGCCGCGUGUGGUGGCAGGUGCCUGUAAUCCCAGCUACUUGGGAGGCUGAGGCAGAGAAGUGCUUGAACCUGGGAGGUGGAGGUUGCAGUGAGCCGAGACGGCACCACUGCACUCCAGCCUGGGCGACUGAGCGAGACACCAUCUCAAAAAAAAAAAAAAAAAAAAAAAA